CACGUAGGGGGCGAGCGUUGUCCGGAUUUAUUGGGCGUAAAGAGCUCGUAGGCGGCUCAGUAAGUCAGGUGUGAAAACUCCAGGCUCAACCUGGAGACGCCAUCUGAUACUGCUGUGGCUAGAGUCCGGUAGGGGAGCAUGGAAUUCCUGGUGUAGCGGUGAAAUGCGCAGAUAUCAGGAGGAACACCAGUGGCGAAGGCGGCUCACUGGCCCGGAACUGACGCUGAGGUGCGAAAGCGUGGGGAGCAAACAGG
rnacentral:rRNA from 1 species